GCUAGGGUGGCAGAGCCCGGUAAAUGCAGGAAACCUAAGCCUUCCCCCCCAGAGGUUCAAAUCCUCUCCCUAGCU
rnacentral:tRNA from 1 species